UCUCCUGCUCCUAGGGUCCACAUCUCCUGGUUUGGGUUUGUAAACACUUUAUUGGCAUUUUAACCUGUGUGUGUGUAAGCCUCUGCUCAAGAGAUCAAGAAAUACAAAUUGGUGAUGAGACACUCCGUUGACACAACCCUUGUCAAGGACAAAAUGAAGGCAACAUUUGAGAAAAGACAAAAGUUUGUUCAAGACCCAGCAAGGUUUCCACUGUCCUAGACCUUUUUCCAAGAUUUCUGGACACAUCAGGCUUGCCAAGGGCAAGAAGACUGCAAAGAUUAGCACAACAGAAGCUGCUGGCCGCCUGAUGAAGUUUCUCAAGGUGGGGAGAAGCAUGGACACAUUCCUCAAGGAAACAGAACCUCCAACAUUAGCUGCAGGCUCAAACUCAACAUUGCUUAGGAAACCUGAAUCAACACAGUGUGCUUGCGAUAAGUGCAGCUUGUAAAAACAGUGUGCAAAAACAAACAUCCAGCCUCUCCACAGAGCAAACGCAAAGACCUUCCUGGGUACAAUCCAUGCUGAAGCUUCAAAUGUCUAACAGUGAACAAUUUCUGUGGUGUACCUUGCAAAUGAAACAUGUAAACAUUUGAAGUCAGAAAUUAGUUCCUCUUCAAACUGAACUGAAAGAAGUCUAAUUUCCUUCACCUGAGGACUCUUCUUCACACUGCCAACCUCAAUGCCAUACACGAUUGUCUGGAUGAAUGUGUAGAAGUUGCACAGCGCAUCGUUAAAGGACACAGCAAAAGCAAAAUGGGCCUUGAAGAGCUCGUCAAAGGCCGCAACUCCGGUCUGAAUCUUACAUGGAAUGGCCUUUUGGUCCAGGAUGAUGUAAAAGUUCUGGAUGCUGUUUUUUUACUUCCUCCAACACAGGAGAAAGGGCUGAGCUCUUUUCCACCACACCUCGGAAGGGUUCAGUUUUUCAGGUUACAGGUGACAACUUGGCUAUACAUAGCCUUUUUGGAUUUGUCAAAUCAUUCAGUGCAAAGUAGUGCUGUCGAUUUUGUUCAACUGAAAAGGGAGAGAUGCAAUCAGUUUUCAGUGAAGAUCAUCCAACUUUAAAUCUGCGUUCUAAAGCCCUUCAUUCAGAACACUGUGCUGCCAUUCAACAAACUCCUGCUUUGUCCUCAACAUUUGGUGUGAAACUAACCUGUCCACUCACUUCCCUCCAGCUGUUCCAUACUUUAGACAUCUGAUUUUUGAUCAUCUUAAGCUUUUUAAAUCUAUUUCCAGACCAAUUUGAUUCCAAAGCACCAUCUAAUGAUACAUUUCCCACGGUGUAUUAGGAAGAUUGGGUGCAUUAGCUUUCAGAGUCUGUAAAAAAACUUUAAAAACAUUCCAAAAAAACUAGCAAAGAGAUAUCAGAAUCAGUUGGCUUUUCAUUUUGAGAACUUUUAUUUUCAAAGAUUUCAAUUUGGCCCCAUUACUGAAGUCUUGGUCAGCAGUUUGGAGGGCAGUGAGGCGCUGAAUUAAACUUUUGAUUUGUCUGUUUUUCCCACAACUUCCUGGGUUCCUGGUUGUCCACAGUGACUGUAAAAAGAAGGUUGUCCACAACAUUUUACACCUUUAGAGUAAAUUUUGUUACACCUAUUAGUGUUACUAAAUUGGAGUCCAGUGUAGUCUGGUAGCUUAGAAUUUGUAACACUGACACUAUUCUAGGGUAAUAACACUACUCUGUGUUGGCCAGUGUCUUUCAACUCGUUACAGGGUUGAAUCAACUCCAGGUGAGUAUAAAAAUAUUAACACUUUCAAAAUUGUUAAUUUAACACUGAAAAGAGUGGACGCAUAUAGACACUUUCCUAGUGUUAAAUUUAACACUCAGUUAAUUUAACACUGGUGAUUUGGCAUUCUACUACUACUGCAUGGUGCAAAAGUAAAGAAUGUUUAAACUCUUCCCAUAUUGGCAUUAGGUAGACAUACUUGAAAAAAGGAUCUAAAUAAUUCAAAUAUGCAAAUUGGUUCCUUAUUAUACUGUUGUACUGAUUUAUUUCAAGGUAUUUAAAUAGCAAAUAUAUUACAUUAAGCAGAGUGGUCUCUGUGCUCUACUACAGGGUAAACGUUUUUUAAACAAAGAGAUGGAGCAGGGACUCCCUGCUAUUAAUAUUGUAUAAAAUGAAGUUGCAUAUUAAACUGUGCCUAAAAUAACGUGUAUGGCAUUAUAAGCCUUUAUACAUACCUCUUUAAGUGCAUAGAAUACUAAGCUAUUAAAAUAUUAAUUGUCGGCAUGAUUUUAUAAAUCAUCUUUUA